GGCAACUUGGCCGAGCGGUCUAAGGCGCUAGAAUCAGGAGUUGUCCAUCUAGUCCGAAAGGGCGUGAGUUCGAAUCUCACAGUUGUCA
rnacentral:tRNA from 1 species